rfam:Echinostoma caproni strain Egypt genome assembly, scaffold: ECPE_scaffold0006244
GGCCUCGUAUCUCAGCUAGUAGAGCAUGCGCAUACAAAGCGUAGGUGGCGUCCAUGUGUGGGUUCAAAUCCCACCGAGGCUG